CUCAUCAAAGAUAUGAGCAUCUACCGUUCAGAAACGCCGUAUUUUGCGAUUUCACGACCUUUCGUCGCGUUUGGAGACGAUUGGACAUGGUUGUAUUUUUGAUUAAACGUAUAAGCUUCUAGCCUUUAGAAACGAUCUAUUCUGCGAUUUGACGACGUUUCGUCGCGUUUGGAGACGAUUGGACAUGGUUGUAUUUUUGAUUAAACGUAUAAGCUUCUAGCCUUUAGAAACGAUCUAUUCUGCGAUUUGACGACGUUUCGUCGCGUUUGGAGACGAUUGGAGAAUGUUGCAUUUUUAAAGAUAUAAGCUUCUAUCCUUCAGGAACGACAUAUUCUGCGAUUUUACGUCGUUUUAUAGUGUUUGGAGACGAUUGGAGGUGGUGGAAAUUCUCAUCAAAGAUAUGAGCUUCUACCUUUCAAAAACGCUUUAUUUUGCGAUUUCACGCCGUUUCGUCGCGUUUGGAGACGAUUGGAGAUGGUUGUAAUUUUGAUUAUACAUAUAAGCUUCUAGCCUUCGGAA